rnacentral:rRNA from 1 species
UGCAAGUCGAGCGGAAACGAGUUAUCUGAACCUUCGGGGAACGAUAACGGCGUCGAGCGGCGGACGGGUGAGUAAUGCCUAGGAAAUUGCCCUGRUGUGGGGGAUAACCAUUGGAAACGAUGGCUAAUACCGCAUAAUACCUACGGGUCAAAGAGGGGGACCUUCGGGCCUCUCGCGUCAGGAUAUGCCUAGGUGGGAUUAGCUAGUUGGUGAGGUAAUGGCUCACCAAGGCGACGAUCCCUAGCUGGUCUGAGAGGAUGAUCAGCCACACUGGAACUGAGACACGGUCCAGACUCCUACGGGAGGCAGCAGUGGGGAAUAUUGCACAAUGGGCGCAAGCCUGAUGCAGCCAUGCCGCGUGUGUGAAGAAGGCCUUCGGGUUGUAAAGCACUUUCAGUCGUGAGGAAGGUAGUGUAGUUAAUAGCUGCAUUAUUUGACGUUAGCGACAGAAGAAGCACCGGCUAACUCCGUGCCAGCAGCCGCGGUAAUACGGAGGGUGCGAGCGUUAAUCGGAAUUACUGGGCGUAAAGCGCAUGCAGGUGGUUUGUUAAGUCAGAUGUGAAAGCCCGGGGCUCAACCUCGGAAUAGCAUUUGAAACUGGCAGACUAGAGUACUGUAGAGGGGGGUAGAAUUUCAGGUGUAGCGGUGAAAUGCGUAGAGAUCUGAAGGAAUACCGGUGGCGAAGGCGGCCCCCUGGACAGAUACUGACACUCAGAUGCGAAAGCGUGGGGAGCAAACAGGAUUAGAUACCCUGGUAGUCCACGCCGUAAACGAUGUCUACUUGGAGGUUGUGGCCUUGAGCCGUGGCUUUCGGAGCUAACGCGUUAAGUAGACCGCCUGGGGAGUACGGUCGCAAGAUUAAAACUCAAAUGAAUUGACGGGGGCCCGCACAAGCGGUGGAGCAUGUGGUUUAAUUCGAUGCAACGCGAAGAACCUUACCUACUCUUGACAUCCAGAGAACUUUCCAGAGAUGGAUUGGUGCCUUCGGGAACUCUGAGACAGGUGCUGCAUGGCUGUCGUCAGCUCGUGUUGUGAAAUGUUGGGUUAAGUCCCGCAACGAGCGCAACCCUUAUCCUUGUUUGCCAGCACUUCGGGUGGGAACUCCAGG